UGCUGUCAGCAGUACCAACACUGGCCCAGGGGUUUCUCCAAAUAGUCGAUCUCAAGGCUAACUACUGGGUCACGCUGAGUAACCGCCACUUCCAGUGUACGAAAGACUGAUGAGAGUAAAUAUUAGUUCAUUAUAGGAGAGCUGUAGCUCCGGCCACCGGUGAUGUGGAGCAGAGCAUGCUGGGCGAUCUCUAACUGAGGAGUAGGAAGUAACUAGAGAGAGUACACAAGCCGUGAUAAAUUCCAGCCAUCUCAUGUGAUUACCUCCAGUUAGCAUUCUUUGUUUUAGCCAAGGCCAGUGGGUGUCCUUCAGAAAUAACCACACAAACUCUUAGUUAACACAGUUGUCAAGCCAUACUGUGCUGUAUUUGCUCUGUUUAAUCAGCGUCAUUAAACAACCUCGACUGGCCUAUCAUCCGUGCCCUUACAAGCACCUGUGCUACGUAAAGUCCUCAACUACAUCCAGGACCUAGGGGUUCUGCCCAACACCCAGACAUGGAUCCACCUGAUGUCCUCCAUUACCAACCACCCUCCAACUUUCCAUUACAUCAGCUACUGUUAUUGUCAUUAUCUGCUAAGAAAAAGCAAGUCAACUAUCAUACUGGGCUCAUUAUGUGAGAUACACAGAUUAGCUUAAAACACUAGCACUGCAAACACUCAGAACAAAGAGGGGAGCAGUCUCCUUCUUUGAGUCUACCUUCCAAGACUGACUACCUGUUGAAAACAAGUGACAGGCAGAACCUCCCAUCCACACAAUACCCACCUCCUCUCUAUUCCACACACCAGAAUUCAGUAUUUCAGUCUAUGAUUGCCAUGUGAGUGUACAAAAAAUAUAAAAGUAAAUUGACACAUGUACCAAUAAAAUAUUGCCAGAUUGUUUUUUUA